rnacentral:other from 1 species
GAUUCCCUACCUUGUUCGUGCUUACGGGGAGUAAUUUUUGAGCCAACAUUUAGUUUGAGGGAGCCUGUGUUUGGAUGCAAUGCGUUGUAUUCAACAGGGCACCCACUUUGCAAUUAGGUUCAAAGAUUUUUCUUCGAGCGACAGGGUGGGGAUUUU